rnacentral:lncRNA from 1 species
GCACAGCUCCGGGCAGCGACCCGCGAUGCGGCAUCCUUCCGUCCGGUCGGAGCCCUCCUAGCCCUCAGCGCGUCUAUUCCUAGCUUCGGUCCCCGCAGCCAUAUAAGCAAUGACACCCUCGCCGACUCGCCUGCCAGCUUGGCCGCCUCCCUGCAGAGGGCUGACGCUUCUCCAGAAGUUGUAAGAAAAGGAGGGAAAGCAGGCCAACCUCGAGGAUCUCCCCAGCCUUGGCGUUCAGGUGCUGAGGAGAUCGUCGAGGUUGGCCUGCUUCCCCUCACUCCUCGGGCCUUGCUCUUCCCCCAGGUGCCCACUGCCCUCCCUGCUGUGUACCACUUUCUUGCUGCCUGUGAAGGUAUUUGUCCUCACUCUUGUGCUGCUCCUUCAAUGAUAGAACUUUGGGACUUUCUCAUCCAGCAGCACCAGCCUGAAAAAGCAGUGGCUUGCACCACCACACACAUACCUGGUCUCAGAUAUAAGCUCCAUGAGAACAGCCACCUUGUUUACCUUGUUCAUGGAUACAGAACAGUGCCUGGUGCUCAAUAAAUGAACAGUGAGUGAAUAAGUGAGUGUUGAGUCAUCUAAGUGAGCUUAGAUGAACUGACAAUGAGACUGUGCACAAUGAAGAGAAAGGAGGACUCUUGAGGAAUUCCACCAGCUUGAAGAUGGCUGAAGAAAGAUGACAGAAAGCAAUCAGAGGGAUGGAGGGCAAACUAAGAAAGCAGAGUCAAGAGUAGGAAGAUUGGGAAGUGGUAGACAACAUUAGGAAAUACUGCAGAAAAACCUAAAAGGAUGAGAAUUAGGAAAGACACUAUUGAAUUUGGUCUUUGGGGCUGAAAAAAAAGGCAGCUGCAGAAAAGAAAUUGGAGUGGAACCCCAUUUGCACAGAAAUUAUGGAGUAAUUAGGACACCAGGCAGAAAGUUUGGCAAUGAAUGGAAGGAGAGAUGACAGCCUUGGGCAUUCGCUCGCAGAACGCAAGGACAUUCAUUCUUAAUUCAGUAGAAAAGUGUCGUGUUGUUACUGUCUCAAGUGGAAGCGCCCUCUCACUCCUUCAUUGUCCUAAGAGAACAAAAGGGGCCUUGAAUUUCAUGACUGCCCCAGUGAUGCUUCUGAGAGCUUGAGCUUUGGAAUCAGACUGCCCACAUUCAAACCCCAGUUCUUCCUAUUGCUGGCUGUGUGAUUUGGGGAAAAUUACUUGAUUCCCUAAGUUUUCUCAUCUGUGAAAUGGGGAUUCACUCAGUUAGUGAAUAUUAUUCAGCUCCUACCAUGUGCAGACACUGUUCUAGUGGGGGAUUCAGCAUACCAGCAGUAAAUGGAUCUCUGUACAAUGCCAAAAACAUGAAGCCAACUAUUCAUAGUAUUUUUAAGUGAUAUCCUGGUGCUGCUUCCAGGAAGAUGGAGUAGAUAUACUUUUCCCUAUUGCUCCCACUAAGUACAACUAAAACCCUGGACAUUAUGUAUAAACAUGCAUAAGAAGAUGCUGAAAGGUGGUAAGAAAGCAGACUGGCCAGGGACUUUGCGAUCCAAGGAACAACCUGGUGAUGAGUUUCCUGUACCCCAGACUUGGGAUAAAGGAGCUGGCAACCCAGAAAUGCCAACGGGAGCAAAUAAAAAAUCCCCAACAAAAGCCUGUUUCUCUAGACAAAGGACUAGGACAGGGGCAGCCUAACAAAACAGAAAACUCUUAGUAACAACUUACUCCAGCUAAAUAGCACAGAAAAACCUAUGGUCCACUCCCACCCACACCACCCAAGGGUGUGGGAGUCCAGGCUAUCACAAGGGGCCUCGCCUCCACUGGUGUGGUAUCGCAAAAGCCACAGGGAGCUGGUUCUUUCAUCCCCAUCUGACAAAAGGCUCCCACCCCCAUGGUGUCAGCGGAGACCACACUGGGAGCCUGAACUUCCACCCACUCACAGCUGUAACAAGGCAGUCCCUCCACCUCCCUGCUGGGGUGGUGUCAGAGGAGGCCAAGUGGAGAGUCAGGACUUUCACCAUAGCCCAGUGACAAUGAAGCCACCUCCCUAUGGUGUCAGUGGAGGCCAUAAGGAACAGUAACGAGGUCUAGUGGGAAUCCAGAACUGCCACCCUGCCCAGCAGUAACCAGGAGCCCCUCCCCUCCGUGUGGACAGAGGCCAAGUGCUGAAGCUGGACUUUGCUCCCCCUAGCCCUGCUAGGUGGCUAUUAGAACAGCCAGCUAAAACUGGUUUCACCAAGACAGAUUUAGGAAGACAGUGCCCCGGGCAGGAAAAUGAAGGCACGGAGAGGUUAAAUAUAAUAACUUGCUAGUGGUCAAUCAGUAGGCAGUAGAGGAGCCAGCAUAUAAACCCAAGCUGCCCAGCUGCAGAACCACAUUCUUGUCCCAUAUGCUAUGCCUCUCAAAAAAGGAGGCCCUCUCCUUGGGACACAAAGGUAAUAAAAAUGCCUGCCCUGAGCUGUGUCUCUGUCUAGGUACACAGUUCAUGAGUGAAGGAGCUCCUGGAGUCAUGAAUAAUGGAAGUCCAGAUUGGUCAAGUAACUUGUCCCAGCCCCAGCCCAUGCAUCUGGUAUGUGGUUGGACAGGUUUCUAACUCAUUACGUAACAUCAAGAACAUUUUAAACUGCUUUGAGACAUUUGUGAAUUAAGAUCUCAAUAAAUAGUCCUCCCUGGCACCAGCUCCAUCCACAUUAAAUGAGACUUGAAAAUUUCUUUGAAUGGAUAUUAGUUUAGAAGGAGCUAAGUUAUUAGUUGGCCUCACAUUCCUCAGUUGGGCCCUGGGCCCAGCAUGCCACUUCUCCUGGUUAUUAUGGUUCACAUCUGAGGUAACCCAUCGGGAAACUGGAUGGGACAACAAACUAAAAAUGUUUUAGUUUGGACCUGUCCAAAACCAAGAGAAUAAAAACAAAAUGGAUAGUCAAGAUGA